ensembl:lncRNA
CUGCAGUUACCACAGACUAAGAAAUCUGGCAGCUGAGAAGUGUCCAAAACACUGACCAGACAUAAAAAUAAAGACCUUCAUUUCUCUGCACUGACAGCUUUUGCAUCAGUAAAAUACGGAUGCAAAUGCUUAUCACAGGGGAUUAAGGAAAUCUCAAAUGACCAGGGGAUGUUUGCAUACAAUAUACUUUUCACCCUAAUCUUUCCAGUUUGGAAAUUUUCCAGAAUUACACUAUGAAUAAAUUCUCCUCCUAGCAGCUGGGUGGCUUACAAAGACUUGUAAAGUUUUUGAUGUAAGACACAACGAUCUUCUAAAAUGAAUGCUACUCGCCUAUGUCAUGAGAAACCUUAACCAACUUCUCUGGGACUCUAAAAAUGCUUUAUAGAGUAAUCAUGCAGUAACUGCAUUGUAAAGAAAUAAGGCAGUACUGAAAAAUAGUACAGCAUAGUAAUUGUAUGGCAUUAUUUCAGUAAUGCAAUGUGCUAGAGUCCUUAAAGAAGUUAUUACAGAAGUAUAAUUUGACUAAAUUUUGUAUUUGCAGGCAUGCAUUUGUUUAGUAUUAUAGCCUUCCUUUAGACCUCCAGCACCAGUUACUGACCUUGUUUCUGAUGGUGGCUGAAGCUAAGGUAUAAUAAUAGUCAGUAUAAGAGAUGUACAUUAAAUUGCAUUAACCUCUGGUUAGAUUCCCUAGCAUAUUCAUCAGUCUUCAGUGAUAUCCUAUUGGUUUACAAAAGGUGCUUCACUGUGUUUUUUCAUGUUAUUUUUAAACAUAUUUUUUCAAAAGGCAUUCCUAUUAAGAUGACAUAUAAUCACUGCACAGCCAAAACCAGCAGGAAAAUGCAGAAAAAGACAUGAAAAGAAAGGAGCAUCUCUGUAUUUGCAAGCACUCCUCUCACAGAUGUCCAUGCUGUAUGACAAUAUCAUCAUGGAAUCGGUGUAAGACUGAAACAUCACCAGCCAGAAAUCAAGUCUCAAUUCUAGCAGACUUGAAAUGCAUGACCUACAUCAUCUCUGUGCAAGAGGUUCAGCCCUUACACAUAUGGACCCCAACUCUUGACUGAGAUGAUAUUAUAAUGUGGAUAUAGAAAUAUCAGGGAGAUAUAACUGCAAUCACAGCUCUAAAUGAAUAUUUGCCAGCACCACUGAAAAAACAGUAACAUUUUCUAAAGCAAAAAAUAAACGCCUCGAAUUAUCUUGAAUAAGGAGAAUGUAUAAUCCAAUGCAGUCAAUGCUACNAAGUCCUAAAAGCAACCACAAUUAGUGAAAGUAGAUCUUGUCUUAAAUAUGGGAAAAAUUGAAUGACUGUCUCAUUUUUCCCUCUAAUUUGUUAGCAACUAAAUCCACUGUGAAAUUAAAAGAAUAAAUGUGGGGUAGGUUAAAGUGACACGAAUAUAAUUUACAAAAUGGUUAUAAAAUAUGCAAACUAAUUUUCUUCUUUUUUUUUUUUCCAUUUUUAGAAUCAGUUUUAUAAAUAUCCUUUUGUUCAAAUGCUCAAAAUUCCUGUUACAUCAUUUAUAAAGGGAAAAUCAGUUGAAGAACUUUCUUUUACAAGAAGUAUUAGAGUCAUACACAAGAUGCUUUAUUUAGAAUCUGAAAAUUUAUUUUAUGUUUUUUUCUGUUGACAACCAGAAGCACUGGGUGGAAAAAAAAUAGCAGAACAAAGAGCUCCCUUGAGAUAUUUCACGUUUGCUGACUCACUACAUCAUCACACAUGACACUGAAUUAUUAGUUUCAGCAAAUACUGAAAU